rnacentral:lncRNA from 1 species
UUUUUGUGAAAUCUACAAACUCUUUCCUUCGGCAUUUUUUUCUUUUGCUCACAUACUCUGAAAGACCUAAAACAAAACUGGCAUUUUAAAAGAAAUUGGGGCCAGACUCCUUGGACAUUAAGUAGUGACAAACAUUUAAAGAGAAAAUGGCACCUGGAUUGUUAGAUUUUUUUUUUAAACGUUGGGAGAUUAUGCAUCAUGAGUCCAUGAAAGACAGAAAUAACCAUGAUUCACAAUCACUGUGUGACUGUGGUUUCCUAAGAAUCAUUACACUUCAAAGUCUACUCUAGAGCCUGGCACCGCUGACCUUCUGUUCUUUCUGUGUCUUUGUUCCAUGCCAAGACACCCAUUUUGUCUUUCCUGGGUCCUGUUACAAACCUAGACAGUUUGCUGAGCUCGCAGUUGAGAUCUGCAACACCUCCUGUUGCACUGUGUUUCCCUGGCUCCCCAGGAAAAUGUUAAGUGAAAAAUGCUUCGUAGAGAGCAGAUGUGUUUGUCGUUAAAGCUGGCAAUGCCUUCCAAAGUAAAGACAUGGAAAGAU